UACGUAGGGUGCAAGCGUUGUCCGGAAUUACUGGGCGUAAAGCGCGCGCAGGCGGUCUUCCAAGUCAGUGGUGAAAGCCCGGAGCUCAACUCCGGAACUGCCAUUGAAACUGUAAGACUUGAGGAUGAGAGAGGUGAGUGGAAUUCCCAGUGUAGAGGUGAAAUUCGUAGAUAUUCGCAAGAACACCAGUGGCGAAGGCGGCUCACUGGCCCGAUACUGACGCUGAGGCACGAAAGCGUGGGGAGCAAACAGG
rnacentral:rRNA from 1 species